AAACCAUGAUCGGGACAUAGUCUGACCAUUCCUUUAAACCUAUCCCAUGCUUCAUACAAAGAUUCACUCUCGUUUUGUUGAGCUAGCAAUUAGAUUCCUCAUGUGCAU